CCCUUAGAUGUUCUGGGCCGCACGCGCGCUACACUGAUGCAUUCAACGAGUUUUACCUUGGCCGAGAGGCCUGGGCAAUCUUUUAAACCUGCAUCGUGAUAGGGAUAGAUUAUUGCAAUUAUUAAUCUUGAACGAGGAAUUCCUAGUAAACGCGAAUCAUCAAUUCGCAUUGAUUACGUCCCUGCCCUUUGUACACACCGCCCGUCGCUCCUACCGAUUGAAUGCUCAGGUGAGCCAUUCGGACUUUCAUCAUGCUGGUUUCCAGUUUUGAUGAAGGAAAGUCUUGCGAACCUUAUCAUUUAGAGGAAGGAGAAGUCGUAACA
rnacentral:rRNA from 1 species